rnacentral:tRNA from 1 species
GGUGGGGUGGCAGAGCGGCCAUGCGUUCGCCUGCAGAACCCUGUAGUGAGCGAAUAUAUAAGGGUUCGAAUCCCUUCCCCACCU